rnacentral:lncRNA from 10 species
UUGCUGGGGGGCAGAUGGCUCCAUGGAAGGGGCAAGUCCCCUUCCCAGCCCAGGUCCCAGUUUCCAACACUGUGGGACCCGGGAAAUUCUGCAGGAGGCUGCCGGGCCAGGGGAGAGCAGCUUGGCUUUGGAGAAGGCCUGCUUGGACCUGGCUCCACCCCUCACUCGCAGUGUGAACCUCCUGGGUAUAUUUCUCAAUUUUGUGGAGCCGGUCUCCUCAACGUGGAAGACGCCUGUUCCGUUGGGCAUCGGGAGGUUCAAUAUUCUCAGCUGUGGGAGGCGACUGGUGUGAGGCGGGCCUUUCGAGAAGGCUGGUUCCCUCUCACUCUCUGAGCUGGGCCUGUCCUGGGCUCCCCUCACCCCAGGGAGGAAGAAACUCAGCGCUCUGGAACACCUGCUUUACUCCUCAUCUGGGCCAGGGGUUUGAAGGAGGAGGGCUGCAAAGGCCAGGAUCCAAGGCGCUCAGUGAUCAUUUGUGUCACGAUUAUGGAAGGGCAGCUAGCUUCAGGCCAGGGCGACGCUUUGCCCAGAAGACAAGCUGGGUGCUCUGAGCUCUCUUUUGCCUCUGUUAACACCGCCUCCCGCCACCUGUCUCUCCUCAGGCUUCCACUGGGCUGUGUGCCCUUCCUGGUCGCUCAGCUCCAGGAGCUGGCAAUCUAGCUGGAAACCAUCAGCCAACACCACAGGGAUAUGGGGACAUCUGUGUUUUUGUCUCCCUCGAAUUCAUCCAGCUUUUGGUAACAUGGAAUUACUAGGUGUGAGAAACUGUUCUAGGUAACACACAUACACAGGCACAGACAGCUUUAUUAAAUUCCACAACCCACUGACAUUGGCAUCAUUGUUAAUCCCAUUUUACAGAUGAGAAAACUGAGGUACUAA